GUGGGGAAUAUUGGACAAUGGGGGGAACCCUGAUCCAGCCAUGCCGCGUGUGUGAAGAAGGCCUUUUGGUUGUAAAGCACUUUAAGCGAGGAGGAGGCUACCGAGAUUAAUACUCUUGGAUAGUGGACGUUACUCGCAGAAUAAGCACCGGCUAACUCUGUGCCAGCAGCCGCGGUAAUACAGAGGGUGCAAGUGUUAAUCGGAUUUACUGGGCGUAAAGCGCGCGUAGGUGGCCAAUUAAGUCAAAGGUGAACUCCCCGAGCUUAACGUGGGAAUUGCAUUCGAUACUGGUUGGCUAGAGUAUGGGAGAGGAUGGUAGAAUUCCAGGUGUAGCGGUGAAAUGCGUAGAGAUCUGGAGGAAUACCGAUGGCGAAGGCAGCCAUCUGGCCUAAUACUGACACUGAGGUGCGAAAGCAUGGGGAGCAAACAGGAUUAGAUACCCUGGUAGUCC
rnacentral:rRNA from 1 species